rnacentral:rRNA from 1 species
AUUGAACGCUGGCGGCAGGCCUAACACAUGCAAGUCGAACGGCAGCGGGGGGUAGCUUGCUACCCCGCCGGCGAGUGGCGGACGGGUGAGUAAUGCCUGGGGAGCUGCCCAAUCGAGGGGGAUACCAGUUGGAAACGACUGCUAAUACCGCAUACGCCCUGAGGGGGAAAGGUGGGGAUCUUCGGACCUAUCGCGAUUGGAUGCACCCAGGUGGGAUUAGCUAGUUGGUGAGGUAACGGCUCACCAAGGCGACGAUCUCUAGCUGGUCUGAGAGGAUGACCAGCCACACUGGAACUGAGACACGGUCCAGACUCCUACGGGAGGCAGCAGUGGGGAAUAUUGCACAAUGGGGGAAACCCUGAUGCAGCCAUGCCGCGUGUGUGAAGAAGGCCUUCGGGUUGUAAAGCACUUUCAGCGAGGAGGAAAGGGGUGAUGCUAAUACCAUCAUCCUGUGACGUUACUCGCAGAAGAAGCACCGGCUAACUCCGUGCCAGCCGCCGCCGUAAUAC